CUGCUUUUGCUUCGGCUAAUUUUCUCUCUGCCAAUGCAUCCUCCGCUUCUACUUUCUCCGGAACAUAAUCUGUGAACAUAACCGGUUGUGCAUCAGACAGCAUAACCAAUGGCGGAGUAAAAAUCAAACGUUUUAGUUCCAAGUGACGUUGAAUGGAAGCGUAAACGUUACCUGAAAGGAAGUCGCAUCUCUCUAAGCAAAGAAAGUUUAGAAAUCCAGUUUCCAGCAACUGUUACGAGAAAACGUUUUCAUAUCGUUGGACAAUCCAAAUUGAAGCCUUGUUGCUCUAGUAAAAACGCUUGUUGCUUACAUCGCACGGUGCGAGGAUGUAGCGCCAGGACAGCUCCAUUUCAAGAGGAAAACGAGAUGCUAACCCCGUUUUGAUUUUUAUGCAGCAUGUAAAAGCAAGACCUCACGAAUCAUGAACCAACCAAACCAUGAGAGUGCUAAUGUGCUAUAGCAGCAUCAGAGAAUUUCUACCAUUUCAAAC
rnacentral:lncRNA from 1 species